rnacentral:rRNA from 1 species
CCUACGGGUGUCAGCAGUGAGGAAUAUUGGUCAAUGGCCGCGAGUCUGAACCAGCCAAGUCGCGUGAAGGAUGACUGCCCUAUGGGUUGUAAACUUCUUUUGUCAGGGAGUAAUGUCAGCCACGUGUGUCUGUUUGAAAGUACCUUACGAAUAAGGAUCGGCUAACUCCGUGCCAGCAGCCGCGGUAAUACGGAGGAUCCGAGCGUUAUCCGGAUUUAUUGGGUUUAAAGGGUGCGUAGGCGGGUUAUAAAGUCAGCGGUAAAAUUGGGGAGCUCAACUCCAGCCAGCCGUUGAAACUGAUGAUCUUGAGUGGGCGAGAAGUAUGCGGAAUGCGUGGUGUAGCGGUGAAAUGCAUAGAUAUCACGCAGAACUCCGAUUGCGAAGGCAGCAUACCGGCGCCCGACUGACGCUGAGGCACGAAAGCGUGGGGAUCGAACAGGAUUAGAUACCCCAGUAGUC